rnacentral:rRNA from 1 species
UGGGGAAUAUUGGACAAUGGGGGAAACCCUGAUCCAGCAAUGCCGCGUGAGUGAAGAAGGCCUUAGGGUUGUAAAGCUCUUUCGCCCGCGAAGAUAAUGACGGUAGCGGGAGAAGAAGCCCCGGCUAACUCCGUGCCAGCAGCCGCGGUAAUACGGAGGGUGCGAGCGUUGUUCGGAAUUACUGGGCGUAAAGCGCGUGCAGGCGGUCUCUUAAGUCUGGUGUGAAAGCCCGGGGCUCACCCCCGGAAGGGCACUGGAGACUGGGAGGCUAGAGUACCGGAGAGGAAGGUGGAAUUCCUGGUGUAGCGGUGAAAUGCGUAGAUAUCAGGAGGAACACCGGUGGCGAAGGCGGCCUUCUGGACGGCUACUGACGCUGAGACGCGAAAGCGUGGGGAGCAAACA